rnacentral:rRNA from 1 species
UACGGAGGGUGCAAGCGUUAUCCGGAUUCACUGGGUUUAAAGGGUGCGUAGGCGGAUAGGUAAGUCCGUGGUGAAAUCCUGCAGCUUAACUGCAGAACUGCCGUGGAUACUAUCUAUCUUGAAUGUCGUGGAGGUUAGCGGAAUAUGUCAUGUAGCGGUGAAAUGCUUAGAUAUGACAUAGAACACCCAUUGCGAAGGCAGCUAACUACGCGAGAAUUGACGCUGAUGCACGAAAGCGUGGGGAUCAAACAGG